rnacentral:rRNA from 1 species
GAAUUUUAGUAAAUUAAUAACUCCUAUUAAUUUAUUUAUAUGGUGGCACAAAAUCGGAAGCCCCGACUGUUUACUAAAAACACAACUAUCUGCAAUUAUGAAAAUAAUAGUAUAGGUAGUGAGAUUUGCCCAAUGCCAUUUUAAUAAGUAAUAAUAAUGGGUAACUGUUUCUUUACAAAAAAUUGGUUAAUAGCGGUCUUAACUAUGAGGAUCCUAAGGUAGCAAAAUAAAUUGGCCAUUAAAUGUGGUCCAGUAUCAAUAAUUUAACGAUGGCUUCACUGUCUCUACAACUUGCUCAGUGAAAUUGAAUUACCCGUGCAGAUGCGGGUUACCUCAAAGAGGACGGGAAGACCCUAU